GGCUCGGUAGCUCAGUUGGUAGAGCAACGGAUUGAAGCUCCGUGUGUCGGCGGUUCGAUUCCGUCCCGCGCCAC
rnacentral:tRNA from 1 species